rnacentral:rRNA from 1 species
CCCAGACUCCUACGGGAGGCAGCAGUCGGGAAUAUUGCGCAAUGGAGGAAACUCUGACGCAGUGACGCCGCGUAUAGGAAGAAGGUUUUCGGAUUGUAAACUAUUGUCGUUAGGGAAGAUAAAAGACAGUACCUAAGGAGGAAGCUCCGGCUAACUACGUGCCAGCAGCCGCGGUAAUACGUAGGGAGCAAGCGUUAUCCGGAUUUAUUGGGUUUAAAGGGUGCGUAGGCGGUCCGGAAAGUCAGCGGUAAACGCCCGGGGCACAACCCCGGCGAGCCGUUGAAACUGUCGGACUAGAGACGGCGAGAAGUACGCGGAAUGCGCGGUGUAGCGGUGAAAUGCAUAGAUAUCGCGCAGAACUCCGAUUGCGAAGGCAGCAUGCCGGCUCCACACUGACGCUGAGGCACGAAAGCGUGGGUAUCGAACAGGAUUAGAUACCCGAGUA